GAUGAACGCUGGCGGCGUGCCUAAUACAUGCAAGUCGAGCGAACAGACGAGGAGCUUGCUCCUCUGACGUUAGCGGCGGACGGGUGAGUAACACGUGGAUAACCUACCUAUAAGACUGGGAUAACUUCGGGAAACCGGAGCUAAUACCGGAUAAUAUAUUGAACCGCAUGGUUCAAUAGUGAAAGACGGUUUUGCUGUCACUUAUAGAUGGAUCCGCGCCGCAUUAGCUAGUUGGUAAGGUAACGGCUUACCAAGGCAACGAUGCGUAGCCGACCUGAGAGGGGGAUCGGCCACACUGGAACUGAGACACGGUCCAGACUCCUACGGGAGGCAGCAGUAGGGAAUCUUCCGCAAUGGGCGAAAGCCUGACGGAGCAACGCCGCGUGAAUGAUGAAGGUCUUCGGAUCGUAAAACUCUGUUAUUAGGGAAGAACAAAUGUGUAAGUAACUAUGCACGUCUUGACGGUACCUAAUCAGAAAGCCACGGCUAACUACGUG
rnacentral:rRNA from 1 species